UUAAAUAAAAUAAGGGCUUCUUAUAAGAACCUCUUCUACUUCAUUAGUUCAUCAUCAUGAGCAAAAAAUCAUAACUCUUUUUCAUUUGAAAUGUCACAACGAGUAAAACUUUCCAUUGAUACUUUUUUACUAGUAUUGCCAUAUUACUGAUGGUUUCAUCUUCCAGUGUUCUUCUUGCUUCAGGUUCUUCGUUUUCUUCAACUCAGAGAAAACAUCAUGUACAAGUAGUUGAACAAGAAGUAGUUGCUCUUUUGAAAUGGAAAUCAACCCUUAUUACCCUAAAUCAUUCUCUUCUCUCUUCUUGGAAGAUGAAUUCUACUGCGAGUCCUUGUAAAUGGAAUGGAAUCAUUUGCAACAACAAGGGUAGAGUUGCGGAAUUGAGCUUAACAGGUUUGAGUUUACAAGGUACACUGCAUAGUUUCAACUUUUCAUCUUUCACUAACUUUGUUAGUCUUGACUUGAGCCAGAACGAACUCUUUGGAACCAUUCCAUCACAAAUUAGUCAUCUUACAAAACUCACAUACCUUGAUCUUUCUUCGAAUAAAUUUUCGGGACAUAUUCCACCAGAAAUAGGUCUGCUCACAAGUCUGCUGUCUUUAGACCUUUCUGAAAAUAAAAUUAGUGGAUCCAUCCCUCAAGAAAUUGGCAAGUUAUCUCUUCUCACUGAUCUUAUGCUGUACAAGAACAAUCUGGCUGGUUCAUUGCCUACUUCUCUAUGCAAUUUGACCAACUUGGAUGUUUUAGCAGUGUUUGAAAAUCAGAUUUCCGGUGUCAUUCCUCGAGAUAUUGGAAGACUGAGUUCUCUUAUUAUCUUAGCUUUGUAUGAAAACAAUCUGAAUGGUCCAAUCCCUUCUUCUAUAUGCAACCUGACUAACUUGACCCGUUUACUAAUGUAUGAAAAUCAAAUCUCGGGUGUCAUUCCUCCAGAUAUCGGUUUGCUAAGUUCUCUUACAGAAUUAGAGUUGUCCGCCAACAAUCUCAGUGGUUCAAUCCCCGCUUCUUUAACCAAUUUGACUGGGUUAGAGGGUCUUUAUCUAUAUGAAAACAAACUUUCAGGAAUCAUACCUCAAGAUAUAGGUAGUCUCACAAGUCUGCGUUCCUUAGACCUUUCUAAGAAUCAAAUUAGUGGAUUUAUCCCUCGUGAAAUUGGCAAUUUAUAUUUUCUAACUGAUCUAAUUUUGUUCAGAAAUAAGCUUAGUGGUGCACUGCCUAAUUCUAUAUGCAAUCUGAUCUUGACAAGUUCAUUAAUUUAUCAAAACCGAAUCUCGGGUGCCAUUACUCGAGAUAUCGGAAGCCUAACUUCUCUUACCAUGUUAGUUCUGUACGACAAUAACCUUAGUGGUUCAAUCCCAACUUCAAUAUGUAAUCUAACCAAUUUGGAUCAUUUAGCAGUUUUUGAGAACAGCCUUUCUGGCAUUACCUCUAGAAAUUGGUAGCCUUAAGUCUCUUACCAUCUUAUAUAUGUAUUCAAACAAUCUCAAUGGUUCAAUCCCUGCUUCUUUAACGAAUCUGACUAGCCUGAGCUCUCUUUACCUAUGGGAUAACAACCUUUCUGGCAUCAUUCCAACAGAUAUAGGAAGGCUACACUCUCUUAAGAUCUUGACUUUGUCAGAAAAUUAUUUCACUGGUCAAAUUCCUACAUCUAUAUGUCAUUUGGCCAACCUCAGCGUUUUAUCAGCAGGUCAAAAUCAACUCAGUGGUGCCAUCCCUCAUGAUAUUGGAAAUCUAAGAUCUUUAGAUACCUUACCUUUGCUCAUGAACAAACUCACCUGUUCCAUUCCUGCAUCGGUGGGUAAUUUGAGAAAUUUGACUUAUUUAUCUCUUACUGGGAAUCAGUUAACCGGUUUAUUACCAAUAGGAAUCAACAAUCUAACACAGUUGAGAGUAAUUUAUUUGAGUGACAACAAGUUUUCAGGUUAUGUGCCUCAAGAUGUAUGUCGAGGUGGAACACUUGAAGAAUUUGUGGCAAGUGGUAACCAUUUUAUGGGUCGUAUACCAAGAAGCCUUAGAAAUUGCAUUAGCCUCAGAAGUCUCGAUCUUUCGAUGAAUGAGCUGGUUGGUAAUCUGACAGAAGCGUUUCAGGUGUAUCCAUUUCUAGAUAAGUUUCGCGUGCAAAACAACAUGUUGUAUGGUGAACUCUCAAAAGAAUGGGGGAAUUGUCCAAGUUUGACAGCUCUAUCUUUCUCAGGGAAUAAUAUCACAGGUAAUCUGAAAUGGGCAAGUUGAAGAGUUUAAGUGAACUUUAUCUUAAUUCAAAUAACUUAGUAAGAGAAAUUCCUACGGAGUUGUCGAAUCUGUCUUCACUAAUUCAUUUAGAUUUAAGUAAUAACCAGCUUUCUGUUAGGUUGUCUUCUGAAGUCGGAAAAUUUUCCAGCCUUCAAUAUAUCGAUCUAUCAACAAAUAAACUCACAGGGUCAAUACCAAAACAACUAGGGGAAUGUUCCAAGUUAUUAUCUUUAAAUCUGGGCAGAAACAAUUUUAAUGAAAGCAUCCCACCCCAGAUUGGAAACUUGGAUUCGUUACAGAUUUUGUUAGAUCUUAGUUACAAUGAGUUUACUGGAGAGAUACCGUCAGCUCUGGGAAAACUACGUAAACUGGAAACAUUAAAUUUGUCACACAACAAGCUUGUCGGCUCAAUUCCAUCUUCAUUUGAUCAAAUGCUUAGCUUGACAUCUGUCAAUAUUUCGGACAAUGAACUGAGUGGCUCUCUUCCAAAUAUCAAGGCCUUUAAGGAUGCUCAAAGGGUUGUACGGUGAUAACACUACAGGUUUAAAACCAUGUAAUUCUCCGGUUGUGUUUAGAAGAAAACAAGACAAGAAAAAUCUUUUGCUCGUGAUCCUACUUCCAUUGAUUGGUUCGUUCUUUCUUUUGUUCAUACUUCUCGCCAUUUUCUUUUGGCUUCGAAAAAGAUCUUCAAGAAAUGUCAUGCCUGCCGAUCAGGCAACAGUUUCCACUACCGGAAGAAACUUAUUUUCAGUAUGGAAUUACGAUGGGAAAAUAGUGUUCGAAGACAUAAUUGAAGCAACUGAGACUUUUGAUGCAAAAUAUUGCAUCGGAACAGGAGGAUAUGGGAGCGUUUACAAAGCAGAGUUGUCAACAGGUCAAGUUGUUGCUGUCAAGAAAUCCGACACCGGCACAUUGUGAAGUUUUCGGUUUUUGUUCCAAUCCAGAAAGACAAGUCUCAUUUUUGGUUUACGAGUACAUGGAAAGAGGAAGCUUGAAAAAAGUUUUUUCAGAUGUGGAACAAGCUGUUGAGUUUGACUGGAUAAAGAGGCUAAGAUUCAUCAAGCGAGCAGCUAAUGCCCUUGCUUACAUGCACCAUGAUUGCGUUCCAGCAAUAGUUCACCGGGAUAUAUCUAGCAAUAAUAUUUUGUUGGACUCUGAAUAUGAAGCUAGAGUUUCUGAUUUCGGUACAGCGAGGAUUUUGAAGCCAGAUUCAUCCGAUUGGACUUCACUUGCAGGAACCUACGGAUACGUUGCUCCAGAGCUUGCUUAUACAAUGAAAGUUACCGAGAAACGCGAUGUUUGUAGCUUCGGGGUGAUCAUAUUAGAAGUACUUAAGGGAAGCCAUCCAUCUGAAAUUAUCACGGAGCUCUCGCAAAUUCUUCUUUCAUCUCCUUCAUCGAGUAAGGUGAGGCAAAACAUAAGGUUGUCAGACAUCUUGGACCCUGCCUUGGAGCACCAGCUGAUAUUGUGAAGAAAGAAAUAAUGUACAUCGUCAAGGUUGGAUUUUCCUGUUUACGAGCUGAUCCAAGUACUCGGCCAACUAUGCAAGAAGUAGCAGCAGAGCUAGCAUUGUCUGCUCGGAGCAGGGAAAAUUUAGAAAAGCCUUUUGAAAUGAUUACACUAGGAGACAUUAUUCUGUCAGAAUAAUUUGUAUAACCUAGUCAUCAUCUUCUAAUUUUCUUUUCUUUUGGCUCCUCUAAAUUAUUAAGUUAUGAGUAUUUUUCUUUCAAUCCAAA